rnacentral:lncRNA from 1 species
GCAUCGAUGCAUGUUGUGUAACCCUCUUAUGCCUCAGCCUAUCGUGUCUAUCAGCCAUUAUACUUAUAAGUUAAAUUAAAUCAGACAAUUAGUGCAAGGAUACAACACCACAAGCAAGAAUGAAAAAAAACAGAAAAAAUUCCGAAGAUGCAUCUCCGGUUCCUGGGAAAUUAAAUGUUUAAAAAUUCUGGAGAUGAAUCUCCAAAAUUUUCUGCAACUUAGCAGCUGCGUCAAUGGCGUCAAUGCAGACAUGG